UACAGAGGUCUCGAGCGUUAGGCGGAAUCACUGGCUUAAAGCGUGUGUAGGUGGAUGCCUAAGUACCUUGUGAAAAUCCCACGGCUUUAACCGUGGAACUGCUUGGUAUACUGGGUGUCUUGAGUCACUCAGGGGCGAGCGGAAACAAAUGGUGGAGCGGUGAAAUGCGUAGAUAUCAUUUGGAACGCCAAUGGGUGAAAACAGCUCGCUGGGGGUGCACUGACACUGAGACACGGAAAGCCAGGGGAGCGAACGGG
rnacentral:rRNA from 1 species